UACGUGAGGGCAAGCGUUGUCCGGAUUUAUUGGGCGUAAAGAGCGUGUAGGCGGUUUGGUAGGUCCGCUGUGAAAACUCGAGGCUCAACCUCGAGACGCCGGUGGAAACCAUCAGGCUAGAGUCCGGAAGAGGAGAGUGGAAUUCCACGUGUAGCGGUGAAAUGCGUAGAGAUGUGGAGGAACACCAGUGGCGAAGGCGCUUUCUGGUCUGUAACUGAGCUGAGGCGCGAAAGCGUGGGGGAGCAAACAGG
rnacentral:rRNA from 1 species